GAGCGCGCCAAGCUAGCGCGGGCGCCCCUCCCCUGUCACGCCUCGGCCUCCCCGCCGGCCCUGCGGCAGGGGGAUGCUCGCCUGACCCCACCUCCGGCUCCUCCUCAGGCACCAGGCCGGGCGGUGGCCGCCUCCAGCUCACCACCUCCGAGGCCGCACUUCCGGGCAGCGACGCCGGCGGAACUGAAGUCCGCAGAUGCCGCGACGCGGCGAACCACUCGGUCAGAGCACGUUUCCGGCGUUUCCAUGGAGACUAGUCGCCGCCGCCAGGUCGCACUUCCGGCCAAAGUCGCAGGGGGCCGGGGCAACCACGCAGUUUCGCCCUAGCGACGGGGCGGGGGCGGGGCCUGCGCUGUCAAUCUGUAGGCCACGCUCCUCGCAUGUGCUGUCGGGCGGGAGAAGGCCCCUUGCUGUGCCCACCUCGAGACCUGUGAGACCAGUGGCUCACCUAUAUCCUGUGUCUUGACAGCUGUUGCCACUGCAACCUAAACAGGAGUGGAACUGCCAAAGCUGCCCUGGACUGGCCUGAUUCCACAGGAUUUGGGGGCAUUAAGUGAGAAUUCUAAUAGUUCAUAGUACAUAGCAGGUAUAAUUAAGGUUACUAAUCAGCUGACUAGAUAAGGAGAUAGUCCUGGAUUGUUUGGAUGGGCCCUAGGGAAUCAUAAGGGUUCUUUGUUGUUGUUCAGUGGCUAAGUUGUGACUCUUUAUGACCCCAUGGACUGUAGCACGCCAGGCUUCCCUGUCCUUCACUAUCUCCUGGAGCUUGCUCAAACUCAUGUCCAUUCAGUCGGUGAUGUCAUCCAACCAUCUUGUCCUCUGACAUCCCCAUCUCCUCCUGCCUUCAAUCUUUCCUGGCAUCUGAGUCCUUUCCAAUGAGUUGGCUUUUCGCAUCAGGUGGCCAAAGUAUUGGAGCUUCAACUUCAGCAUCAGUCCUUUCAGUGAAUAUUCAGGGUUGAUUUCCUUUGGCACUGACUGGUUGGAUCUCCUUGCAGUCUAAGGGACUCUCAAGAGUCUUCUCCAGCACCACCGUUCAAAAUCAAUUCUUUGGCAUGCAGCCUUCUUUAUGGUGAAAAUCUCACAUCCAUACAUGAAUGCUGGAAAAACUAAAGCUUUGACUAUACAGACCUUUGUCAGCAAAGUGAUUUAUCUGUUUUUUUUUAACACGCUGUCUAGGUUUGUCAUAGUUUGUCAAAAGGGUUCUUAAAGGUAGAAGAAUACUCGAAGUAGGAGGACUCCAAGGUUUUGAAGGCAGAGGGCCGUGUGGUGAGGAACGUGUGGGUGGUGGUAGUGGACUCUUGAAUUUCAGAAGAACCCUGGGAGACAGCCAACAAGAGAACAGGGACUUCGUCCUACAGCUUCAUGGAGCUGGCUUUUCUAGCAACCUGACUGAGCUGGGAAGCAGACUCUUCCCCCCAACCCAACACACUCCUACAAUUUUUGUUUUCAGUUCAGUUCAGUCGCUCAGUCAUGUCCGACUCUUUGCGACCUCAUGAAUUGCAGCACGCCAGGCCUCCCUGUCCAUCACCAACUCCCAGAGUUCACUCAGACUCACAUCCAUCAAGUCAGUGAUGCCAUCCAGCCAUCUCAUCCUCUGUCGUCCCCUUCUCCUCCUUCCCCCAAUCCCUCCCAGCAUCAGAGUCUUUUCCAAUGAAUCAACUCUUCCCAUGAGGUGGCCAAAGUAUUGGAGUUUCAGCUUUAGCAUCAUUCCUUC
rnacentral:lncRNA from 1 species